rnacentral:rRNA from 2 species
CGGUAGCUAAAUGCGGAAGAGAUAAGUGCUGAAAGCAUCUAAGCACGAAACUUGCCCCGAGAUGAGUUCUCCCUGACUCCUUGAGAGUCCUGAAGGAACGUUGAAGACGACGACGUUGAUAGGCCGGAUGUGUAAGCGCAGCGAUGCGUUGAGCUAACCGGUACUAAUGAACCGUGAGGCUUAACCUUACAACGCCGAAGGUGUUU